GGUCACCUACGGGGGGCAGCAGUGGGGAAUAUUGGACAAUGGGGGAAACCCUGAUCCAGCGACGCCGCGUGAGUGAAGAAGUAUUUCGGUACGUAAAGCUCUAUCAGCAGGAAAGAAAAUGACGGUACCUGACUAAGAAGCCCCGGCUAACUACGUGCCAGCAGCCGCGGUAAUACGUAGGGGGCAAGCGUUAUCCGGAUUUACUGGGAGCAAAGGGAGCGAAGACGGCAGCGCAAGUCUGGAGUGAAAGGCCGGGGCCCAACCCCGGAACUGCCCUGGAAACUGUUAAGCUGGAGUG
rnacentral:rRNA from 1 species